AACGAACGCUGGCGGCAGGCCUAACACAUGCAAGUCGAGCGAGGACUUCGGUUCUAGCGGCGGACGGGUGAGUAACGCGUGGGAAUGUGCCCUUCUCUACGGAAUAGCCCUGGGAAACUGGGAGUAAUACCGUAUACGCCCUAUUGGGGAAAGAUUUAUCGGAGAAGGAUCAGCCCGCGUUGGAUUAGGUAGUUGGUGGCGUAAUGGCCUACCAAGCCUACGAUCCAUAGCUGGUUUGAGAGGAUGAGCAGCCACACUGGGACUGAGACACGGUCGAGACUCCUACGGGAGGCAGCAGUGGGGAAUCUUAGACAAUGGGGGCAACCAUGAUCUAGCCAUGCUGCGUGAGUGAUGAAGGCCUUAGGGUUGUAAAGCUCUUUCAGAUGGGAAGAUAAUGACGGUACCAGCAGAAGAAGCCCCGGCUAACUCCGUG
rnacentral:rRNA from 1 species